rnacentral:rRNA from 1 species
AAUAUUGCGCAAUGGAGGGAACUCUGACGCAGCUACGCCGAGUGACCGAUGUAGGUCUUCGGUUUGUAAAGCACUGUCCCUGGGGAAGAAGGGAGCCGUAAGGCUUCUUGACGGUACCCAUGGAGGAAGCCCCGGCUAACUACGUGCCAGCAGCCGCGGUAAUACGGAGGGGGCAAGCGUUGGCCGGAAUUAUUGGGCGUAAAGGGUGCGUAGGCGGCCCUUUAAGUCAGAUGUGAAAGCCCACGGCUUAACCGUGGGACUGCAUUUGAAACUGGAGGGCUUGAGUGUCGGAGAGGGCAGUGGAAUUCCCAGUGUAGCGGUGGAAUGCGUAGAUAUUGGGAGGAACACCAGUGGCGAAGGCGACUGCCUGGACGAUAACUGACGCUGAGGCACGAAAGCUAGGGGAGCGAACA